AAUGGAGUCAGCAUGAUGUUAGUGCCAGUGGAGAGCAGGCUUCCUCAAGAGCACAAGUGGUUCCAUGCAGCUUACUAAAAGAGGUGACAGAAAUACAAUAUGUCUUCAACAGCCAGACAGGAGAUGCCAAGAUGUUAAACUAUUAAGAAAAGAAAAUGGUUUCAACAGAAGACAUUUUGACUUUAACCAGAAGAAAAGAAAAGUCAUUACAUCUUCAUGUCACUUGCUUUAUUUGAAAAGGUCUUUGAAAACAUAGUUUUUUCACAAUAAAACAGCAUCAUGUUUUUCAAUGUAGCCAGGUACUUUUGUGUUACCUGGCACAUGUGUGUGAGGCAGAGCUGUUCUCUCUAGCACAGCUGCUGUGCUCUACCCAACAAUUGAAAGUGUGGCUACUUUUGGGCAAAUUUUGAGAUUGUCUUCUCACACUCUGACUUUUGUAGUGCAAAGUCUUAUUACCCAAGUGUGUUGGGUAUCACUAAUCAAGGUCAUGCUACAUCUGUUCCCAAAUUGUGAUGUCUUUAAUAUCCUGCCUUUGCCAUGGAGAGGUGUGCAUUUGGCCAUUGUUACUGACUAAGACAAUAAAAUUGUUUUGUGCUCAGAA